rnacentral:rRNA from 1 species
CCUACGGGCGGCAGCAGUGAGGAAUAUUUGUCAAUGGCCGGGAGGCUGAACCAGCCAAGUCGCGUGAGGGAAGGCGGCCCUACGGGUUGUAAACCUCUUUUGUCAGGGAGCAAGGUGCAGGUCGGGACCUGCUGUGAGAGUACCUGAAGAAAAAGCAUCGGCUAACUCCGUGCCAGCAGCCGCGGUAAUACGGAGGAUGCGAGCGUUAUCCGGAUUUAUUGGGUUUAAGGGGUGCGAAGGCGGAGGCACAAGUCAGCGGUAAAAUCGCGGGGCUCACCCCCGGUCCGCCGUUGAAACUGUGUGCCUUGAGUGCGCGAAGGGUAGGCGGAAUGCGUGGUGUAGCGGUGAAAUGCAUAGAUAUCACGCAGAACACCGAGCGCGAAGGCAGCCUACCGGCGCGCAACUGACGCUCAUGCACGAAAGCGUGGGUAUCGAACAGGAUUAGAUACCCCAGUAGUC